CGAGGUUGAGCAUAUAGAAAGGAGAGCAAUUUGGGAGAGAUGGCAGACCAGGAGAAAAGAGGCUAUGGAGGAGAGGGAAGCAAUGGCAAAGGUGGAAGCCUAAUUCCAGCAAAGAAGAAGUCAGUGAAGCAAAUGAUGGCUGAGAAAAUACUUGAAACUUCUUCCAAAGCUUUCAAGAAUGACAAAAAGAAGAUCAAGCCUAGAGAUGAUGAAGAUGAUGGUUAACGAAAAAUUGUUUCUGUUGUUCUUUAUUUGAGUGUUAGUCAUAAUCACAUGUAAAAUUCAUAUCAGUUGCUGCUUUAGUGUGUAAAUUUAGGUAAUUUGUUUAGUGUGUUCUAAGAAAACUAACGCACGAAGCAAAGGAACUAAAUUUAUGGACUGAAGUUUGCAUUCCAGCCAUGAAUAUUUUGAUGUCAUAUACUAUUUUUCUGGUGUUGUUGUUGUAUUUAACAAUUAUAUUCUGGCGAAUGUAUGACUUUUUUUCUUCCAG
rnacentral:lncRNA from 1 species